rnacentral:lncRNA from 1 species
CCGGCAAAACAACAAGGAGACUCUUAUUUUUAUAUUAUAUGACAUUUUAUUUAUUUAUUUAUUUAGAGACAGAGUCUUGCGCUGUUGCCCAGGCUGGAGUGCAGUGGCUUGAUCUCAGCUCACUGCAGCCUUUGCCUCCCAAGUUCAAGCAUUUCUUGUGCCUCAGCUUCCUGAGUAGUUGCGAUUACAGGCAUGCGCCACCACGCCUGGCUAAUUUUUGUAUUUUUAGUAGAGAUGGGGUUUCACCAUGUUGGCCAGGCUGGUCUUGAACUCCUGACCUCAAGUGAUCCACCCUCUUCGGCCUCCCAAAGUGUUGGGAUUACAGGUGUGAGCCACUCCACCUGGCCUGUAUGACAUUUUAAUAACUACAUAUGUUACUUCUAUAAUCACAACCCCUUCUCAAAAAAAAAAAAAAAAAAGACAUAAUGAGGGGGAAAGGGUACCAGGUAUGAUUAUCACAUAAUAACUGUCUUUUUCCUCCUUUAUAAAUAUAUAUGCUUUCCCUGACCCCAACAGUGCCCUUUAGGAGCUCAGCUUGCCACCACGGCACCAAUAGCACCAGUGGCUGCUCCAGCUGAGGAGAUGGGGCAGGCCCUGAUUUGCACAGUUACAACUGGUAUCUGGUUCUACAAGAUGUUAACAGGGUCAUUGCCCUUCAUUCCAUGCACCUAGUUCAGUUCUAAACAAAGGAAGAGCGGUUUUUCUAACCAUCUCACCCCACGAAUCGGAAAGACCAACGGGCUUCCAGUGAGGACGCCCGCAUUGGCGGGCACUUUCACAAGCCUCCUCCCCACACCCCCCGCCCCCCCCAUUCACACAGAUGGCCCUGUGAUUGCCUGCUCCAAUGCCACAAUACAUAACCAACAAAACCCAGCCUGUGAGUCCUGUAAAAUAGAGCUCCUCUAACAAUACUUUUUCCCCUGGGAAGUGUCCUGAUUUUCUGGGGGGUGUCCACCAUUCAGGGAAGUGGGUAGUGGACCAGCAUCAGGGCAGCAGCAGGGAGGAAGGGCAGAGGCGUGACUUGCAGGAGGCGACCCCAAAGGCCAGAGAAGCGGGGUGGGAGGUUCAGGCAGGCAGUACUCUGGAGACAGUGCUCUGACCCAGGGCAAGUGCCACUGAGCAGGACCCUGCCCUCUCGGCAAAACCGCUCCCACAGAGGCCACCGACUUUUUACCAGUUGGAUGCAUUGGCUCCCAGAAACCCAGCCAGCUUAGUGCACUUCUGCAGCCGUCCUUGGAGCUGUGAACUCACAAAAUAUUGAUAAUGCGCUUCAGCCUUCUGUGCCUUGAAAGAGGUUGUUCUCUCGAGUUCCUGAUGUUUCCUCAGGGCCUCAGAAUAAAAAAGGGACUGAGAAAGGAACUAGCAUUUUUGGGGCACCUGCUGCGUAUCCCACUGUAACUAAAGCAUAUCAUUUAACCUUCACGCCAGCUGAGGGUAGGUAUUAUCCCACUUGUUAAAUCUGAGAAAACUCAGAAAGGUGAAGUCACUUGCCCAAGAACUAAUGGCUAGUAAUGGCAGAAAGGCUGUCCAGUGACCUUUAUGGAGUUAGGUGUAGUCGGUCCUCUGUAUCCAUGUUUUCUGCAUCUGUGGAUUCAACCAACCUCACAUCGAAAAUAUAUUCAUUUAGGCUGGGCAUGGUGGUUCACACCUGUAAUCCCAACACUUUGGGAGGCCAAGGUGGGUGGAUCAGCUGAGGUCAGGAGUUUGAGACCAGCCUGACUGACCAACAUGGUGAAACCCUGUCUCUACUAAAAAUACAAAAUUAGCCGGGUGUGGUGGCGGGUGCCUGUAAUUACAGCUACUCAGGAGGCUGGGGCAGGAGAAUCACUAGAACCCGGGAGGCGAAGGGUGCAGUAAGCCAAGAUCAUAACACUGCACUCCAGCCUGGGCAACAAGAGCGAAACUCAGUCUCAAAAAAAAAAAAAAAUCAUUAAAGUGUUUUAAUAGAGGUUAAGAAAAAACAAAACAAAGAAAGGGCCAGGCAUGGUGGUUCAUGACUGUAAUCCUAGCACUUUGGGAGGCUGAGGUGGGAGGAUCUCUUGAGCCCAGGAGGUCAGGACCAGCCUGGGCAACAGUGAGACCUCCAUCUCUAUGAAAAAAAUUUAAAAACAGUUAGCUGGGCAUGGUGAUGUGCACCUGUAGUCCUAGCUACUCGAGGGGAUAAGGUGGGAGAAUCACUUGAGUCCAGGAGGUCAAGGCUACGGUGAGCCAUGACUGUGCCACUGCAUUCUAGCAAGGGUGACAGAGUGAGACCCUGUCUCAAAAAAAAAAAAAAAAAAAAAAGGAUAUAAGAGGGAGGAUGUGGGAUGUGUAUAGGUUAUAUGCAAAUAUAUCAGGGACUUGAGCAUCUGUGGAUUUUCUAUCUGCAGGGGGUCCUGGAACCAAUCCCCCAUGGAUACUGAGGGUUACUGUUGUUUCUUUACAUGUGUGCUUCCUCACUUGUAAGGUGGAAAAGAAUCCUGCAUUCCGCAGAAAGUUAAACAUGACGUUGGUGGUAUGCCCAGUUCCGGCCUAGCACAUAGGACACCAAAGACAAACUAUACCUGAGGCAGCCUGAGGGCGCCCCAGAGAACCAGACGGACAGGAUAAGGCUCUUGACUGUCGCCCACUUGUCAAGGCCACCAGCAGGGAAGGAAGGAACAGAGGCAUCAGAGUGAGGCCUGGUAAGGACCUGGGCUCUGCAGUUGGCUAGCCCAGCUCAGCCUGGUUCAGUCCUUGCCUCCUGGGACCGCAGUUUACCUGUUACUCACCCUUUCUAAGCUUCAGUUGCUCAACUGUGACACAGGGAUGACAGGAGGGCCCUGUCUUGCAGGGAGCAUGAGGGCAAGUGAGCUCGUAGGACUCUUUCCCCACUCCUCCAAGUCCUCCUCUCCCUUCCUAACUUCCAACAUCUCUCCAUGCUUCUCACCUUUGCCAGUGGCUUGCGAAAAUCACCCCCUUUAGGAAGAGUUAAAACUGAAACGUUAACACUAAGACGCAAGGCC